rnacentral:rRNA from 1 species
UACGUAGGGUGCAAGCGUUGUCCGGAAUUAUUGGGCGUAAAGAGCUCGUAGGCGGUCUGUCGCGUCGGCUGUGAAAACCCGGAGCUCAACUCCGGGCCUGCAGUCGAUACGGGCAGACUGGAGUUCGGCAGGGGAGACUGGAAUUCCUGGUGUAGCGGUGAAAUGCGCAGAUAUCAGGAGGAACACCGGUGGCGAAGGCGGGUCUCUGGGCCGAUAUUGACGCUGAGGAGCGAAAGCGUGGGGAGCAAACAGG